rnacentral:lncRNA from 1 species
CCCAUGUUGGCAUCUUUGACAAUUCUGGUCGGCAUCCUUGAUGCUAGGUAAGCUUAAGCUUCUGCCUUUGAGUACUUCAUAAGCUGGUGAACCAAUUGACACUGCUGACGAAAAUUCAUAAAAUAAUUGAAAGUACUACAACUAUAUCAUCCUCUUGAUUUACUCCAAUCCUGUAAGCAUUCAGCUGGUCUUCCAAAAUCUGUAAAACAGCUCUCUAAAAUCACUCGUAUUUUAAGUUCAAAUCUGCCAGCUUUAUAGAUUUUAUCUGUACUUAAGUUCUUUAUUUAUCAUUUACCAUUAAAAUGAGUUACAUAUGGCUGCAGUUGGGCAUAGAACUUAUUUUGUUACCAAAGUUUUGAACUUUAACACGGGAAAUUGAUAAUGAAGUCUCUCUUUCAUCUCUGGGUUAAAGCUCAAGCAGAUUAAAUUUGAUAUGAUCCAAUAAUAUAUUGUGUAGCCGUAGAAUUGUAAAAUUAUAGGAACCUCUAUGACUGUUAGAAUCUAUUAUCCCACCUUUCACAUGCCCCUUUCAUAUGUCGCACCCAGUAACCUUUUAAGGCCCAUCUCCUUCUUGUUUUGACCAAAGUACCAACAGCAAUAGGGGAACCGUUAUCUAAGGUUGAUAGAGGGCAUAUAAGUCCACCUUGUCUUUGAUAUGCGUCUAUUCUGCUUGGUGAUGUAUCAACUAAAAGUGGCUUCAAUUUAUGUUUAUUUUCAGCUUAACACCUUUAUAAAAAAUUUAUGUUUAGUUUUCAGCUAUUAUAUUACCUUUAUCAACAAAGAAUUUUAUGUUUAGUUUUCAGCUUUUGUGAGUUACCACCUCUCAGAUAUCCUGUAUUCUUCAAUUCAAGCAUGUGAAUCUAGAGCACCGGAUACACUAACUUUGUCAACUGUUAUUUAUUUCAUUUUUCUUUACUUUUCUGUUGUUUAUAGAAAUAGUUGAUGUCUUCAUAUCUCCGUUGGCCUCUUGUCAUUAUCCUUCUUCUGGAAUAUGCACUAGCGGCAUAUUUGUGUCUGUAUUACUCAACCUUGCCAAUUUUCUUCCUAUCUGUAUUUUGGGUACUAGAAUUUGCUUGCUUCAUUACUACACUGUUUGUGUAGACAAUUUUGUGUUCAAAUAUAGUUGGUCUUUUUCCCCCUGAAUCUCAAUGUUGUUGCUGCCUGCAUUUCAUGCUGGCAUCAUUCUAUAUUUCCUCCAUUUAUUUGGACAACCUCAGGGUUCUGCAGCACUUGCCAUCUUGACUUCAUUCUUGUUCCAUAGCUGUUUCUUUCAGGUUCCCUUUACAACAAGAUCUUCAAAAGUUAACCUGUUUUCAGAAUACUUUCUUCACAAACUGCGGCUAUGUAAGUACCUUUCUGGAGCCACUUUUUGUUUUUUUCCCCACAAAUAUUUGAUAGGAAGUUAGGAACUUUCUUUACAUGUGAAAACGCAAUUCAAGUGUUCUUGCCGACGAAAAAUGUGAAAUUACUACUGGAACUAGUCCUUUCAGAACAUCUAGGUCGGGAUAUUUGCUUACAACUUUUAUGUUGGACCAGUAAACUAAUAGUGUGAGAUGUAGGCAAAAAAACAAAAAAAAAAUCCUGAUAAAAGAUAUUUGUCUACAUCUCCCUCAAUUAGUUCCAACUGGUAUAACAUAAAGACUUUCUGGUUAUCCAAGUGCUAAUGUUGCUGAUCCUUUAUCAUUCUCAAUGCGUGCAAAAGUUCUCAAUCAAUGAUGUUUCCAGGAAGUUUAUGAAAACAAGUUGAACGAGUCUCACACAACCUUUAGUGCUGUUUACUGUUUUAAUUGAAUCUACUAUAAUGUUACCCACCUAUUGAAUGCAAUGUCUUCUAGUGCUGAUGGACUUAAUUAGUUGCCAUUGAAAAAUUUGUGACAGUGGGUUUUUGGAUACAUUAAUACAUUGAGAAUUUCUUUUGUUCUUUGGUCAACAACAACAACAACAACAUACCCAGUAAAAUCCCACUAGUGGGGUUUGGUGAGAGUAGAGUGUACGCAAACCCUAUCCCUACCCCUACCCCGAAAGGGUAGAGAGGAAAAAAAAAUAAAAAUUCUUUUUUCUUUGGUCUUCAUGGAGCAUGUUUCUUAUGCCUUACUAUUUACUGUAUUUAUUUUAUCGUUUUCUUCUUUUAAAGAUACGUGCCUUUGUGUUCUAGGUCUCCUUUAAGUACGCCGUACUUGUAUCAAUGCCUAACAGACACUAUAUUCAAACCCUUCAGGUGGACACACGAAGGUUGGGUCGAGGAAGGAAGAUUGGGUGGUGGAAGAAAGUGUACUAUCCUCAGUCCUGAAGCCAUGGGAUUCCAUUGUUUAAUAAACAUCAAGGUUCAAGGGACAAACAUCUCAUUAAUGCCUAACAAAGACAAACUACAUUCAAGCUGUUCAGGUGGAGGCACAAAUUGACUAGGUUGCAGAGGAAAUUGUGUUAUGCUCAUCCCUGAAGCAAUGUGAAUUCAUUUGCAAAGGGUUAAUUCACUAUCGAGAUUCAAGGGAGCAUAACGUAUGCACUACAGGCUAAGAUUAAAAAAAGUUUAUCUGCCUUCAAGCGUACAUUGAUGUGAUGACAAGUUUACUGUGCAAUUUGUGGAUCUUGUUACCGCUUCAGUCCCUAUAAUGUACAUCUGAGACGCAAUGCACGAGUCUCAGAAUGCGUCCUUGUCUUUGAUGUAUGUUGUACCAUAGUGGCAUAUUUUGCUAUGAUAUAUAUCAAUAUUAUUUUCAGCC